rnacentral:misc_RNA from 1 species
UGUGAUGUACAGAAAAUUUGCACUGGCAUCUAAUAACAUAUGAUAAAUAACUCUGUCUCUGCUCAACAGAAGUCUAAGCUAAUUACAGUCAAUCAAUCAAUCAAUCAAACCAAAGUCGGAAAACAUUAUAUAACAUACAUACUGAUACAUCUUCGAAGGAAGCAGUCUCCGUCAUCAUGUCUUUUUUGAUAAGAGUGGCUCGAGUUGAGGAUUGAUGUCCUUGGAAAGAAGGGAUUCGUGGACACCAGAUUCGAGUUCAGGUUGAAAAAAUUCGUCUUUCCUUUGAUUGAGAAGCCUCUGGAACAAGCUUGGUUUGUUUUCUGCCAAAGAGUCGUGUGCCUUUGGAAAUUCAGUUAACCGCUGAACAUGCUGAAGACAAACUUGCACUGCAUCAUGAACUCGGACAAAGUACCACUCUUUCCCAAUCAGGUCAACCACACCAGCUUUAGCUAGGGUAAGUAGAACUUCGCGGUUGGGAUUGGAAAUGGCUAGCUGAAUGUCUCGCGAUUUAUAUUCCUGAUGGAGCUCUUUCAGAGCUUGAACAGCACUGGAAUCUAUAUACGUAACAGGGGCCAUCUCAAGGAUCACAAAAUGAAUUCUUG